GAAGCUGAAAUUUGUUGCUGCGGGAGAUCCGGACGCGGGAGAAGUUGGAGCUGAAUUUCGUUGGCUGAAGUCGGCUUGAUCCUUGGAGCUCGGAUGGCGAGGACGUGGACGAUGGAAUGAGUCUCACGGCUAUGUGGAGAUGCCGGAAGAAUCGGAAGAAUGAAUCGCGGAUAUGGGGAAGAUGAGCUGGGGCGUGAUCCACGGAAUGGGGAGAUGUGAUCCGGAAGAAGAGGAAGCUGUUUGACUUCCUUCGGCUGGGAAGAAGCUGAACCGAGGAAGCAGGGGGGUUCGGUUGGCAGUUGAGAUGAAGCUCGCGAUGGGA
rnacentral:lncRNA from 1 species